AGCAGCAGUACAGCAGCAGCAGUACAGGCAGCAGCAGUACAGCAGCAGCAGUACAGGCAGCAGCAGUACAGGUAGAGGUGGCUUUUGGAUUAUGAGUUUCUUUAACUGCCAAGUGCAGACAGAGGUUAGGUUUCAGAUGUCUAUGAGACUGAAGUUCUGGGAUGGGGAAUUCUGGAACAGUCAUAAGGAUGGAAGAGGAAGGCUGAACCAAGGAGACUCCCUGUCACAUUUUAGCAAGGUCAACGCUGUUUUUAAGUUUUGUUAAACUUGGCUUGAUGGUAAAAUUUUCAUUUAUAAGCAUGACUGUAGACAAUUUAAAUUUUUUGUUUAUGGCUAUUGGAUCAUUCGGAUACUUUAAAUGGAGCACAUUGUAGUAGAGGGUAGACAACGUGGGGAAAUUGGCCACCAUGCUAGCGCAGUCUUUGGCCCAGCAGGUGCAUUUGCACAUACUAAUUUGUUUCUAGGAAGGACAGAAGGGAGGCAUGGAAAUCUCAUGUAUCACACACCAAAGCCAGUCCCUCUGCGCAGCUGGAUUAUAUGGGCUGCAACGUGGCUCUCUCCUGCUCUUACCAGAGCGCCUGGAUUCAUAGCCCUUUUCCUGUGCACAAUCAAGUUGGAAGGCAGGGAAUGAUGCCAUAAUUGCUCCUCUUUUAACCAUGGCUGCUUCUUAUCCAUAUCACCCCUUUUAAUACCACUGUACCUUUAAGAAAGGUAUCAAUUGACAAUUUCCAUACCUGAAUACAGUGUUACCUUGGUAAUGUUUACC
rnacentral:lncRNA from 1 species